rnacentral:rRNA from 1 species
UGGGGAAUAUUGCACAAUGGGCGCAAGCCUGAUGCAGCCAUGCCGCGUGUAUGAAGAAGGCCUUCGGGUUGUAAAGUACUUUAAGCGGGGAGGAAGGUGUUGAGGUUAAUAACCUCAGCAAUUGACGUUACCCGCAGAAGAAGCACCGGCUAACUCCGUGCCAGCAGCCGCGGUAAUACGGAGGGUGCAAGCGUUAAUCGGAAGUACUGGGCGUAAAGCGCACGCAGGCGGUCUGUCAAGUCGGAUGUGAAAUCCCCGGGCUCAACCUGGGAACUGCAUUCGAAACUGGCAGGCUAGAGUCUUGUAGAGGGGGGUAGAAUUCCAGGUGUAGCGGUGAAAUGCGUAGAGAUCUGGAGGAAUACCGGUGGCGAAGGCGGCCCCCUGGACAAAGACUGACGCUCAGGUGCGAAAGCGUGGGGAGCAAACA